rnacentral:rRNA from 1 species
UACGGAGGGUGCAAGCGUUGUCCGGAUUUAUUGGGUUUAAAGGGCUCGUAGGCGGCCAACUAAGUCAGACGUGAAAUCCCUCGGCUUAACCGGGGAACUGCGUCUGAUACUGGAUGGCUAGAGGUUGGGAGAGGGAUGCGGAAUUCCAGGUGUAGCGGUGAAAUGCGUAGAUAUCUGGAGGAACACCGGUGGCGAAGGCGGCAUCCUGGACCAAUUCUGACGCUGAGGAGCGAAAGCCAGGGGAGCAAACGGG